CAUGACUACCAAAAGAAACUGCUAAAUACAUUGAUAACAACAUUUAAAUAUACCCUUUUAUAAACAGUUAGAAGACUGAUUCUACACCUUAUGGGACGGUUAUGUGAUCUUAUCAGACUCGUUUCUAUCAACAAAGGAGGAAUUGAGAUCAAUCGUAUAAUUAUCAGAGUCUAAACUUUCAAAAGGAUAAUAUUCUCUUGUUAGAAUCAGUCUAAACUUUGGUUUAAUGCAUGUCUUCAUCAAAUAGUGAGCAUUCUGAAUUGAGUAAGUAACACGCGUCCAAGCAUCAGGUAUGUUCAUCAUCACUCUUUGUCUAGAAAUAAAUUAAAUAUAUCAUGUAUAAUACCCUACGAUGAAGAACUCCAAAUAUAGAUUUAGUUGGUUGUGCCAUCUAGUCAGUUGUGUUUAUAUUUGGUCAUGUGCAGAUAAUAAGUUCUACAUGAGAGUUGUUUCUUUUGUAACAUGAAAAGGAUGGGCAUUUAUGCCUUAAUGGGACAAUGUUACAUUUAUGUUUGUAACAAAGACGGAACCUCAUCCCAUGCUAAGUUGUGUUUGUUCGACGUAUGGAAACUGAUUUAAUGGGGAUGUGAACUGUUUCUUAAAUCCCCUCUUCCUCUCACACUGAAUAAGAAUAUCAACAUUGGCAAAUGGACAAGCACAGGCAGGCGGAACAAACACUUCCUAAAUCUCCACUCUCUAAACCUGCCAGGCUCAGACUCGCUUGGGAAGACGACGCUGUGCUUACGGCGCGCACAAAAACAAAAAGGAAAGUGGUUUCCAUGAGAAUGUCGAAGUUCAGGAAGUCUUGUGGUGAAAAUGUUUUGGAUUUUAAAGGUAGAGAGAUUAAACAAAAAGGAAAGUGGUUUCCAUGAGAAUGUCGAAGUUCAGGAAGUCUUGUGGUGAAAAUGUUUUGGAUUUUAAAGGUAGAGAGAUAGGUCAAGGGAAAGGAUUUGAUGUAGAUUUAAUUAACUUGAGAUCAGACGCUGUAAGUAUCCUGUGAUUGCAAGUAGCGGUGUUGGUGCUCCUGCAAACUUUUCUGAUGUGUUCAAUGAAACAAAUGCAUCAGCAGCACUUGCUGUUGGCAUUUUUCACAGGAAGGAGUACAGAUUCUUGUUUAGGCAAUGCUACAAUCCUUGUCAGUGGAGUAAAGUAUAAAAUGGCUAACUGGAAACAACAUAAAGCAAUCAAAGGAGGAAUAUCAGCUUGCUUUGAACGGGUUAGUCUUAGUUCAUCACAGGUGAGCGUUAGAGGUAAUACUUUUUGUUUAUCUCAAAAUGACAUAGAGGAGCAUUUUUACAUUGUUUUUUUCAAUAAAAGCUUUUAUCUCUUCUCUUUUUUCCCAUCUAACUUCGUCUUGAUUUUGAUCAUCCUUCUCUCCUCUGUCUUGAGAUGUAAAAUACCAACGGUUUCCUGUUGAUAAUUUUGUCAAUUCUCUCAGUUUUUCAAAUAGUGAACCCAACAUUGCAACUGUGAUUUGGUCGGCAUUGUCGGAGAAAGGUCAUUAUUGGUUAAAGGACGGUUAGAUCAAGGUUAUUCAUAAUUUUUUUGCGAUUUGGAUUGAUGAUAAGCGUGCAUGUUGUGUUUAGAACAAAUUAUUGAUAUUGUUUAUGAUUUUGAUUUA